rnacentral:rRNA from 1 species
UGGGGAAUUUUGGACAAUGGGCGAAAGCCUGAUCCAGCAAUGCCGCGUGUGUGAAGAAGGCCUUCGGGUUGUAAGGCACUUUUGUCCGGAAAGAAAUCCUUGGCUCUAAUACAGUCGGGGGAUGACGGUACCGGAAGAAUAAGCACCGGCUAACUACGUGCCAGCAGCCGCGGUAAUACGUAGGGUGCAAGCGUUAAUCGGAAUUACUGGGCGUAAAGCGUGCGCAGGCGGUUUGCUAAGACCGAUGUGAAAUCCCCGGGCUCAACCUGGGAACUGCAUUGGUGACUGGCAGGCUAGAGUAUGGCAGAGGGGGGUAGAAUUCCACGUGUAGCAGUGAAAUGCGUAGAGAUGUGGAGGAAUACCGAUGGCGAAGGCAGCCCCCUGGGCCAAUACUGACGCUCAUGCACGAAAGCGUGGGGAGCAAACAGGAUUAGAUACCCUGGUAGUCCACGCCCUAAAACGAUGUCAACUAGUUGUUGGGGAUUCAUUUCCUUAGUAACGUAGCUAACGCGUGAAGUUGACCGCCUGGGGAGUACGGUCGCAAGAUUAAAACUCAAAGGAAUUGACGGGGUCAUAGCUGUUUCCU